CUGUUAUCCCUAGAGUAUUUUUUUCAUUAAAUCACUAAAUAAUGGAUCCAAAUUAACUUAUUAUUAAAAGAUAGUUAUUCUUUUUCUGUCGCCCCAACAAAAUUAAUAUAAAAUUAAUUACUAAUAUAAAUAUUAAUCUAAAAUUCAUAGGGUCUUCUUGUCCCUAAUUUUUAUUUUUGCUUCCUCACAAAAAAAUUAAAUUUAAUUUUUAAAAUAAAGAAAGUUAUUAAUUGUUAAAUCAUUCUCUUAGCACUCAUUUAAAAUCUUAUUUCAAUACCUUCGUAUAGUCAAAAUA
rnacentral:rRNA from 1 species